GCCUUUUUACCACUUCGUAUGUGACGUCAGUGUUAUGACUUUUUGUGUUCAGGCCUGGACUGAGUCGGGUGUGUCUAUUUUCUGUGUUGGUCUUCAAUGUAUUAUGUAUUUGGGUUUUGUUUUCUGUAAUUAGUUAAGACGUCAGUUUUAUCAUGUAAAUCUUUUAUAUUCAUUUGAUAAAAUUUACUGUUUGCAAUAGCAUAAAUUGUUCUAAAUAAUAAGGAUGUUCUCUUCACAAGCAGAAAACCCUAGCCGUAUUUGGCACAACCUUUUUCAAAUUUUGAUCCUCAGAGCUGUACAACUUUGUACCCCCUUUUUUUUUACUUUCGAAAUUUUAUAUCUGGGCGUCACUGGUAAGUCUUGUGUGGACGAGGCGCGCUUUUGGCGUAUUGAGUUUUAAACCUGAUGCCUUUUGUUAUCUAUUAUUCCUGUGUUUCUUUGCCUAAUACGUUCUUCUUUUUAUUUGUAUUGUAGUCCUGUAUAAUUAUGUUGUCAUUUUAAUGUUAUAUUUAACAAUGCCAUGAAAGUGCGAGAUUUGGCAUGCCACAAAACCAGGUUCAAUCCACCAUUUUUUUUCUUUGAAAAUGAUCUGUACCAAGUCAGGAAAAUGGCCAUUGUUAUAUCAUCGUUCGUUUCUGUGUAUGUAACAUUUUUACGUUGUGUUUCCGUUGUGUCGUUUGUUUUCUCCUAUAUUUGAGUGUGAAUUCACAUCACUAUAAGACGUGUAACGGUACUUUUCUAUCCCAAAUUCAUGUAUUUGGUUUUGAUUUUAUAUUGGUUAUUCUCAUCGGAUUUUGUCUAAUGCUUAGUCCGUUGCUGUGUGUGUUACAGUUUAAUGUUGUGUCGUUGUUCUUCUCUUAUAUUUAAUGCGUUUCCUCAGUUUUAGUUUGUUACCCCGAUUUUGUUUUUUGUCCAUAGAUUUAUGAGUUUUGAACAGCAGUAUACUACUGUUGCCUUUAUUUAUAACACUAAAACUCUCACUUGUAUGACAGUCGCAUUAAAUUUCAUUAUAUUUACAACGAUGCG
rnacentral:lncRNA from 1 species